GCCUGGUUGGCUCAGUCUGUUGAGAGUCUGACUUCGGCUCAGGUCAUGAUCUCACAGUUUGUGGGUUCGAGCCCCACAUCAGGCU
rfam:Felis catus isolate Cinnamon breed Abyssinian chromosome E2, whole genome shotgun sequence.